rnacentral:lncRNA from 1 species
GGGCGGGAGCGGCGGUCCAGACUGGGGAGGGACGCGCACCGGCCAGGAGGCUUCAAGAGGAGGGCACUAGGGCCCUGCGAGCGGCGUCUUAACCGGCGGCGCUAGGACUCCGCGGGAAACGGCGGGGGCGGAGCGGGCGGCACCAGGACCCAGGGGAACCGCGACGGGCGGGCGGCGAGCAGGCCCGGGAGCCGGGAGGCUGCGGGCGGCGGCGCUGGACCCGACGCGGCGAGAGAGGCCCCGAGAUGCCGAGCAAGAAGAAGAAGUACAACGCGCGGUUCCCGCCGGGGCCGGAAGCCAGGCAGCGGCGGCCGGAAGAACGGUGGGAUGGGAACGAAAAGCAAGGACAAGAAGCUGUCCGGGACAGACUCGGAGCAGGAGGAUGAAUCUGAGGACACAGAUACUGAUGGGGAAGAGGAGACAUCACAACCCCCACCCCAGGCCAGCCACCCCUCUGCCCACUUUCAGAGCCCCCCGACACCCUUCCUGCCCUUCGCCUCUACUCUGCCUUUGCCCCCAGCGCCCCCGGGCCCCUCAGCACCUGAUGAAGAGGACGAAGAAGAUUACGACUCCUAGCGCCUUCUGCCCCCCAGACCAUAGCCCCUUUUAGUUGGUUUUAGUUGCUCUGGGGGGAGGAGAGAAGGUAGAGCUGUUCUUAAAUUUAUUAAAAAAAAAAAUAAAAGGGAAUCUCAGUGUCUGUU